rnacentral:lncRNA from 1 species
GCCCCACCUACGAUAGUAUACGGGCAUUAUGUUUUCUGGUCUGUGCGUCCGUUCAUUCGUCCGUCCGUCCGUUCGUUCGUCCGUCCGUCUGUCCCGCUUUAGGUUAAAGUUUUUGAUCAAGGUAGUUUUUGAUGAAACUGAAGUCCAAUCAACUUGAAACUUAGUACACAUGUUACUUAUGAUAUGAUCUUUCUAAUUUUAAAGCCGAA